CACGUUGGUCUGAGCUGUAAGCUCUGAGCUGCUUUGUCAGCUGUCAUCACGAUUUACAUUUACAAGUUAUGAUCACAGCUUCAAAGGACAUGAAAAACUCAAUUGCUGCCUAUAGAGUAAUGAAAGUGCCUCAGAGACCAGAUUUAGCCUUCUGAAAACAAAUAGACAAAUGAGGUGAGGAACACGGACUGACCUUUCCCUGGCUGCACAGUCUACAGAGUUUGCAGCGUUAGUAUUAAAAUCUGGAGCUUGCCCUUCUGCAAGG